rnacentral:rRNA from 1 species
AUGGAGGAGCAAGCAAGAUUAUUGGAAUGGGAGAAGUACUUGUUCUUCAUGGACACAUCCAACUUCGACGAGAGGCAAAAGGAGUACAUCAACCUUUGUUGUGAUCAAAUCUUGAUGCAAAAAAGAAUGAUGUGCAUGGGAGGCUUUGGAGGCAUGGGAGCUUCCAUGGGUGGCAUGGGAGCACCUAUGAGAGGCAUGGGAGCUUCCAUGGGAGGCAUGGGAGAUUCCAUGGCAGGCUUGGGAGCUACCAUGGAUGGCAUCGGAGGCGUGGGAGCUACCAUGAGAGACAUGAGUUUUGCGUCUCUCAUGGGAGCACCUACGGGGGGCAUGGGUGGCAUGGGAGCUUCCGGUGUGCCUCACAUGCCUUUGCAUAAUGCCUUUGUUCAUAGUGCAAACACCGUCUGA